CACCCAUGUGAACAUACCUAUUGUUGCUUCGGCGGGAUUGCCCCGGGCGCCUCGUGUGCCCCGGAUCAGGCGCCCGCCUAGGAAACUCAACUCUUGUUUUAUUUUGGAAUCUUCUGAGUAGUUUUUACAAAUAAAUAAAAACUUUCAACAACGGAUCUCUUGGUUCUGGCAUCGAUGAAGAACGCAGCGAAAUGCGAUAAGUAAUGUGAAUUGCAGAAUUCAGUGAAUCAUCGAAUCUUUGAACGCACAUUGCGCCCGCCAGUAUUCUGGCGGGCAUGCCUGUCUGAGCGUCAUUUCAACCCUCAUGCCCCUAGGGCGUGGUGUUGGGGAUCGGCCAAAGCCCGCGAGGGACGGCCGGCCCCUAAAUCUAGUGGCGGACCCGUCGUGGCCUCCUCUGCGAAGUAGUGAUAUUCCGCAUCGGAGAGCGAUGAGCCCCUGCCGUUAAACCCCCAACUUUCCAAGGUUGACCUCAGAUCAGGUAGGAAUACCCGCUGAACUUAAGCAUAUCAAAAGGCCGGAGGAA
rnacentral:rRNA from 1 species